UCCUACUUAUCAUAGGCAGUUUCCUUAGAGUUCUCAACUGAAUGUUAGCAACUAAGGACGAGGGUUGCGCUCGUUGCGGGACUUAACCCAACAUCUCACGACACGAGCUGACGACAGCCAUGCAGCACCUGUGUUCCAGCCACCCGAAGUGAAGAAAGCCAUCUCUGGCGAUCAAACUGGACAUGUCAAGGCCUGGUAAGGUUCUUCGCGUUGCCUCGAAUUAAACCACAUGCUCCACCGCUUGUGCGGGUCCCCGUCAAUUUCUUUGAGUUUUAACCUUGCGGCCGUACUCCCCAGGCGGACUGCUUAAUGCGUUAGCUUCGUCACUGAAGGGUAACCCCCCAACAACUAGCAGUCAUCGUUUACAGCGUGGACUAC
rnacentral:misc_RNA from 1 species